rnacentral:rRNA from 1 species
GAUAAACGCUGGCGGCGUGCAUAACACAUGCAAGUCGAACGAUGAAACUUAAAUGAUUUCUUCGGAAUGAACUUAAGUGGAUUAGUGGCGAACGGGUGAGUAACACGUGAGUAACCUGCCUUACACAAGGGGAUAGCCUCUGGAAACGGAGAAUAAUACCCUAUAAAGUCUAAUCAGCCCAUGCUGGAAAGACCAAAGAUUUAUCGGUGUAAGAUGGACUUGCGUCUGAUUAGCUAGUUGGUGAGAUAAAAGCUCACCAAGGCGACGAUCAGUAGCCGGCUUGAGAGAGUGUACGGCCACAUUGGGACUGAGACACGGCCCAAACUCCUACGGGAGGCAGCAGUGGGGAAUUUUGCACAAUGGGGGAAACCCUGAUGCAGCGACGCCGCGUGAUUUAGAAGGCCUUCGGGUUGUAAAAAUCUUUUUUACGGGAUGAAAAUGACAGUACCGUAAGAAUAAGGUCCGGCUAAAUACGUGCCAGCAGCCGCGGUAAUACGUAUGGACCGAGCGUUGUCCGGAAUCAUUGGGCGUAAAGGGUACGUAGGCGGCCUAGUAAGUUAGAAGUUAAAGAAUAUAGCUCAACUAUAUAAAGCUUUUAAAACUGCUAGGCUUGAGAGAUGGAAGGGAAAGUGGAAUUCCUAGUGUAGCGGUGAAAUGCGCAGAUAUUAGGAAGAAUACCGGUGGCGAAGGCGACUUUCUGGUCAUCAUCUGACGCUGAGGUACGAAAGCGUGGGUAGCAAACAGGAUUAGAUACCCUGUAGUCCACGCUGUAAACGAUGAGUGUUAGGUUCUUGGAAUAAUCUGGGAGCCGCAGCUAACGCAUUAAACACUCCGCCUGGGGAGUACGCACGCAAGUGUG